rnacentral:tRNA from 1 species
GGCCGGAUACCCAAGCGGACUAAGGGGACGGAUUGCAAAUCCGUUAUGCGUGGGUUCGAAUCCCACUCCGGCCU